GACGAACGCUGGCGGCGUGCCUAAUACAUGCAAGUCGAACGCUUCUUUCCUCCCGAGUGCUUGCACUCGAUUGGCAAGCGGAGUGGCGGACGGGGGAGUAACACGUGGGUAACCUACCCAUCAGAGGGGGAUGACACUUGGAAACAGGUGCUAAUACCGCAUAACAGUUUAUGCCGCAUGGCAUAAGAGCGAAAGGCGCUUUCGGGUGUCGCUGAUGGAUGGACCGGCGGUGCAUUAGCUAGUUGGUGAGUUAACGGCUCACCAAGGCGACGAUGCAUAGCCGACCUGAGAGAGUGAUCGGCGACACGGGAACUGAGACACGGACCAGACUCCUACGGGACGCAGCAGUAGGGAAUCUGCGGCAACGGACGAAAGUCUGACCGAGCAACGCCGCGUGAGUGAAGAAGGUGUUCGGAGCGUAAAACUCUGUUGUUAGAGAAGAACAAGGUCGUUAGUAACUGAACGGCGCCUGACGGUAACUAAUCAGAAAGCCACGGCUAACUACGUG
rnacentral:rRNA from 1 species